UAUAACCCGAAGAAUGUGAGGAAUAGCUGAACCUGCGGUUUAGAGAGGAAGACAGAUGCUGAGAGUCUUUCCCGUUUGGAGGUUAGGGUCGCACAGGAGGGGCAGGGGUGAAUAGGGUAGCCCUUGACGGUUUGCUCGUUAUCGCAUUAUAGAGUGCAAGGAGUUCUUUUCUUAUUGCCGCUUGAUUGCUUUGUUUAUAGAGCAUAUUGGCAAGAGUAAUUUGACUCUUUGAAAAAAGGUGGUACCGCGAGUCUUUCGUCCUUUAG
rnacentral:ncRNA from 1 species